UUACGGGAGGCAGCAGUGAGGAAUUUUGCGCAAUGGGGGAAACCCUGACGCAGCAACGCCGCGUGAGUGAAGAAGGCCCUUGGGUCGUAAAGCUCUGUCAAUGGGGAAGAAGUUACUUGGUAUUAAUAGUGCCUUGUAUUGACGGUACCCAUGAAGGAAGCACCGGCUAACUCCGUGCCAGCAGCCGCGGUAAUACGGGGGGUGCAAGCGUUAUUCGGAAUUAUUGGGCGUAAAGGGCACGCAGGCGGUCCUGUCAGUCAGAUGUGAAAGCCCGGGGCUCAACCCCGGACGUGCAUUUGAAACAGCAGGACUUGAGUACGGGAGAGGAAAGGGGAAUUCCUGGUGUAGAGGUGAAAUUCGUAGAUAUCAGGAGGAACACCGGUGGCGAAGGCGCCUUUCUGGACCGAUACUGACGCUGAGGUGCGAAGGCGUGGGUAGCGAACGGGAUUAGAUACCCGAGUAGUC
rnacentral:rRNA from 1 species